UGCCUGUGCGGCCGCGCCGUUAUGUUGCCGGCCAACUGCCCUGCGUCUCCACUCCUCCAGGGCUCCAACACCCCUUCGCUGACCCCCUGCCUGCCAGGCUGCCGGACAGAAUUUUGUUGAGGCCAACCACAUCACAAACGGCACACAGGUGUCGAUGGAGGAACAAAUGGUAAUGUCAUUCUUGGUUUCUCAAGAUCUGUCUGGGAUUUUAGUAACUUGCAACAUCACACGGAGCUCACCUUGGCGGGUGCGACGUACAUGGCGAGUGGAGCGCAGAGGCAACGGCGGCCGUAGCACAGCAUCGCCGGGAGGACGGCCUUGAGGUGUUUUACACAGGUGAGCCCGUCCCAGCUGCCGUCGUUUCCCCAACGUAUACAAGUUCUCUUCCACGACUGAUGAACGUGCCCACAAAGGAUCGGCCAGAGAGAGAGAAGAAAGAGACCUAUGCAGGACGUCAAUGGGGUAGUGCGAGCAGCCUUGCUUUAU